rnacentral:lncRNA from 1 species
UCAUUAUUAAUUAUUAAUCUGAAUAAUAUAUAUAAAUCAAAUUGUUUUACAAGACAAAUAAAUUCUUGCUACUAUUUGACAUAAAUUCUUACAACACAAAUAAAUUCUUGUUGAAGAUGUCUUCUUAGAUGACUUCACGAGAAACAUGAUCACUCUCUCUCUCUCCAAAGGCUGACAACAUAUUCUUGUAGAAUAUGGAAAGCAGACAAACGGUAUUAAGAGCAUCACAGACCAGAACCCAAUUUUUGGGAGUCUAGCUCAGUCACAAGUGAGAUAUUGGAUUUGGACAUCUUUUUCCUUUUCACAUUUGUUCAACGUUUGAAUCUCCUCUCGUAACAAAGAGUCUUGGCGUGGGCUUCUCGAGGUGUAAGAAGAGGGCGAGCAUCCGUCAUCUAGUAAUUUACCAAACCCGAAGCGAUGGCCUUUAACUUUGGAGACUUUCUUAAAAAAAAUAAAAACCAACAUGUCACUAUAAAGAGAAAAAUUAAGAGAAAAUCAUAAUCCAAAUUUCUAUGUUCAAUUACGACAGAUACACAUACACAUAAUUUCACCAACGUGUUUUGGGCAUUUACAUGUAUAUUAUACUCAAACUUGGAGAGUCCUAUAAAGUAUGUGUUGGUUUAAAAGUAUACUCUUAAAAUCACAACGAAAGCUUAUUAAGUUAUUAUUAUAAGUAUAUUAUAAAGAUGACAACAAAGCAUAGUAAAAAUUUACUCAUAGACUUUAGAAACAAACAUGAGAGUGAACAUUUACGUAAAUGUUACUUACUUAAAGCAUUAUGGCGUCAAUCUCUGAUUGUGUCAUAGUGUUUGACUGCAAAUCCUCAUCUCCUUCUGUUUGCCGCUGCGAAGCAGUAAGCUCCAUGUAAACUCUCAACUCCUAACGAGACUUGGCUGAGUGAAAACUGAAAAUCAAAAACCAACUUUAAACUCAAGAAUCUAAAACCCCAAUUGGAUGAUACUCGAGAAAGUUAGUUACUGAGAUUAUGCAGAAAAUUAGUACCUGAAAUUCAAGCUAAUAUUUUUUGGCCAACCCUUGACAUCCUUAGCUAGUUGGCUGUCCCACCCCUCUUUGCUCCUAUCUCUUGAGCUUCGCUUCUCUAUAUAUGAAACAACACAAAAAUCUUCUAUCAAGAGUCAAGGAGAUAGAUAAAUCGUUAAUUUAAGCUUUUUCUGAACCAUAAUCCAUCCUAAUUGCAUAAGGACUAUCCAAUCAAUACAGAUCCCAGAUCAAAACAUAUCAAUUAAGCAAAUUGGAUUCAAUUUACACACCAAUUACAGAGGAUUUGAAAACCUUUUUGGAAAAAUUGCAAGAAACACAAUUAUCUGAAGGUAAUGUCACUUCCUUUUUGGAGUUUCUUUGAAACCUAGAAGGAAAUUACCACCAGCACUUCUAAUUUCUUCAUCUCCGUUUCUGUAGAAAUCGAUAAAUCAAACGAUUCAGAUCAACAAGCGAGAUCGAUAAUCAAUUUAAAUGAAAGAAAUUGAAGUCUGAACUGUUCUCUUGUGCUCUAGCGUGAAGAGAGGAUGAAAUUAAAAGGCACCGUAAAU